rnacentral:snoRNA from 1 species
GAGCAAGCUCGCGAUCGAUUCUAUGGCGAAUACUUGCAUUGAAGGUUGGCGAAAUCAAUGCGAUUCUCCGUGCCUUUUCAAAAUCCUGAAUUUGAUUACGGCCUCGAACAAAUCGCUACAUU